GAUGAACGCUGGCGGCGUGCUUAACACAUGCAAGUCGAACGGACAGGCCAGGACUUUGCCCGGUUCUCGAUUGGCGAACACGUGAGUAUCACGUGUGUAUACUGCCCUUAACUUACGGAUAAACCUGGGAAACUGCGGCUAUUACCCGAUAGGAUAUAUUGAUGCAUGUGGUUCUAUAGAGAAUUUCGGUUUUGGGGUGAGCUCUCGACGUAUCAGCGCCGCAUUAGCGUGUUGGUAUGGCAACGGGUUACCAAGGCGACGAUGCGUAAGCGAGUUGAGAGGGUGAUCGGCCACACGGGAGCGGAGACACGGACCAGACUCCUACGAGAGGCCGCAGUAGGGAAUGUGACGCAAGGGGCGAAAGCCGGACAAAGCGAGGCAGCGUGAGUGAUGAAGGUCGUCGGAUCGUUAAACGCUGUUAUUAGGGAAGAACAAAUGUGUAAGGACCUAUGGACGUCUUGACGGUACCUAGUCAAAAAGCCACGGCUAACUACGUG
rnacentral:rRNA from 1 species